AUUGAACGCUGGCGGCAGGCCUAACACAUGCAAGUCGAGCGCGAAAGUCUUCGGAUGAGUAAAGCGGCGAACGGGUGAGUAACGCGUGGGAAUCUGCCCAGUAGUGGGGGACAACAGCCGGAAACGGCUGCUAAUACCGCAUACGCCCGUACGGGGGAAAGGGGGGAUCUUCGGACCUCUCGCUAUUGGAUGAGCCCGCG
rnacentral:rRNA from 1 species